rnacentral:sRNA from 1 species
AUCAUCAUCAUCAUCCAUCAUUUUAGGAGACAGAAUUUAGCUCAGGAUAGCCUCCAGCUUGCUGCAUGGUCAAGAAUCAUUUUGUACCCCUGAUCCUCCUGCUUCCACUUCAAAGGACUGCGAUAACAAGGCUGAUAUUGUGGCUUUUCUACCUGCCUUUGUGGCUUUUAUAACAAUUUUCUCAAUGAGGAGCCAAGUGGAUGGUGAGAGGGUGCACAGUGGGUAAAACAGCCUUCCACGAGGAUUUCUGACAGUUCAAAAGCUGGCAUCAACCACAGAACUGUUCAACUUUAUCAAUAAAAUGUAUAACACCGAAGUAACAAUGGACUUGAUGCAAAUGAGCAGCGGUGACAACCAGCAGUAUCAUCAGGUGAUAGGCAGAAGGCUCUUCACAAUUAUGGGCCAACUUAAAAACAAGGACUAGCUUUCUCCCUCCUCCUCAUGCAUGCUGUACUAUGUGCUCUGCAGAACAUCUGAUACCCAACUCAACACUUCCAGGGAUCAAAUGAUUACCCCACUGAAGGAUUAAGAGACACCCUAUCCCCUUGGCUUGGAUAUUGGAAUUUUCAUCAAAAUGACCUUGGGUGUGUUGAGAAGGAUCAGGUUUUAAACAUCUCACCUUGAGAAACAACCAGAGGCCCCCUGGGGAAGGGCUCCCUUCCAGACCUCCAGCAGAGCCAUAAACUUUCCCAAGUUUAUCUCAUGGGAUUAACCCCUGGAUAGGCACAGCAUAGGAUUGAGGGGUCUUCUGUGACAGGAUGGGGGGAAGUACUCUCAGUCAGAUUGCCGUCUUUUCCAAGGCUCUGUAUGUGUGGACUUGGAAUUCUUUCCCCCCCCCUUAUCCAACAACCUGAGGGAAGGAGCAGAGGCUGUCCUGUCUGUCCUGUGUGAUUUCAAUUUUCCUUUUGAGAUGGGGUCUGGAAUAGGUAGUGGAGGAUGACCUCUGAUUCCUGAUCAGCCUGCCUUUACCUCCCAAGUAUGUGAUGGAUUAUUUUAAGGAGUACCAUCCAUACAUAGAGACAAGAGAAUAGAUUUUUGGGAUUGGAUAAAUUUCUGGGGAAGUCUUAGUAGGGGGAAAGGAGGAGAGAAUCACAGGUUGGUUCUCUUGUAGGAUUCUUUGUUUCUUUUUUGAACAAAGUCUCACUAUGUCGCUCUGGCUGUUCUGAAAUGCAAUAUGUAGACCAGGCUGUCCUGGAACUUAGCGAGCUCUGCCUGCUCUGCUCACAAGUGCUCUAUCAUUUGACUGCCUAGGAGUAUUUUAAAAUAACGUCAACAAUCGCCUCAUAGAACUAGAGAUGUCUAAAACCUGUGGUGGAAUUUGCCAGGAAUUCCCUUCUGGGCAAAAUUGGAAAGAUGUUCCACUGUUUUUUGUUCAUACCCCAAAGGGUAUGUUUCUUUACACUUUAAAAUUUUCCAGUAGCCAUUUUCAGUUCUUUGUUUUGAGACAGAGUGAUUCUAUGUAGCUCAGGCCAACCUGGAACUUGUGGUGAGCUUCCUGCCUAAGCCUCCCUAAUUCUUCCAUUACUGGAGUGUGCCACCAUGCCUGGCCAUGUUGAGUUCUUAAGCCAGGUCACAGGGAAAGCUCUCUUUCCCACUGAGUAUGAGGAACCGAAAGAGGAUUGUGAUCAGUGUGAUGAAACCUGACCAGUGGGAUUCACAAGUGAUCACAGAUUCAGCCAUAGGUUCCCAUCCAGCCACUGCCACCGUUCAUUCCCAUAGCUACCUGCUGGAGGGUUAUCUUUAUGCUAGACAGUUAUUUACGUUGUUGAUGGAUCGUUUUUUUCUUAUUUGUGAGAUCACAUAGGUGAAAAUCCCUCCAAUGCCUGCUAAUCUCAAAAAAUACUGUAACAGAGGAGAUUUUGUAUAC